AGGUCGUUAGUGUAAUUGGUACCACGACGGACUCCAACUCCGUUAAUCUUCGUUCAAAUCGAAGACGGCCUG
rnacentral:tRNA from 1 species